rnacentral:misc_RNA from 1 species
AAAUGCGAUAAGUAGUGUGAAUUGCAGAAUUCAGUGAAUCAUCGAAUCUUUGAACGCACAUUGCGCCCUUUGGUAUUCCUUAGGGCAUGCCUGUUCGAGCGUCAUCUAAACCUUCAAGCCCUGCUUGGUGUUGGGUGCCUGUCCCGCCUCCGCGCGCGGACUCACCUCAAAUCCAUUGGCGGUCCCCGCGUCGGCCACGAGCGCAGCAGAAACGCGAACUCGUGAGCCCGUCCGGGCGGCUCCCAGAAGCUACACCCACCCAGUUUGACCUCGGAUCAGGUAGGGAUACCCGCUGAACUUAAGC